CUGUAACGAGUGUUAAUAUUGCCUUGUGUAUUUCACCUAAAUCCUUUCAUAUCCAUGGAUUGUGAGUGUAUCGAUUGCUCUGUGGUAUAUUGCUCUGGCCUGCAGUACCUUCAAGUCAGACGCAGGAGUUCCCUCUCAGUAUGUUUUGGUUCUACUGAGGAGAGAUAAAUAAAAGACAACUACUGUCCAGACUAGACCUGUUCGUUACAAAUACAGCAGACUACAACGCGGCUACACUCCCAUCCGGCAGGCGGGACCGGUGAAUCAAGGCUCAGACCAACAGACUCCUAAACAGCUUCUAUCCCCUGGCCAUAAGACUGUUAAUUGGCUAACAACUACAGCUCUCCCACAGACUAUCCAUACGGACUAUAUGCCCAUCCACAGGUCUCUACGGGGUAUGGUAGUAGGUGCCAGGCGCACGGUUUGUGUCAAGAACUGUCACACACAUUUCCGUGUGUAUGAAGAAUGUUCCACCACCUAAAGCCAACUUGACACAACUGUGUACAUUUAUAUUCAUGCACGAUCGCAUACGAAAAUAAGUGUAUAUAUAUAUAUGUAUUUAUUUAUGUUCUUCAUUUGUGUGUAUUGUCAGGUAUUUUCGCAUUGUUGGAGAUAGAAACAAGCAUUUCGCUGUACCUGCGAUAACAUCCGCGGAACGUGUACAGCCUAUUGAAUAAAAAUACUAAAUCAAA